rnacentral:sRNA from 1 species
UACCGAUUGAAUGGCUCAGUGAGGCGUUCGGACUGGCUCGGGGAGGUUGGCAACGACCACCCCAAGCCGGAAAGUUCGUCAAACUCGGUCAUUUAGAGGAAGUAAAAGUCGUAACAAGGUCUCCGUAGGUGAACCUGCGGAGGGAUCAUUACACAAUAAAAUAUGAAGGCUGUACGCGGCUGUGCUCUCGGGCCAGUUUUGCGGAGGCUGAAUUAUUUAUUACCCUUGUCUUUUGCGCACUUGUUGUUUCCUGGGCGGGUUCGCCCGCCACCAGGACCACAUCAUAAACCUUUUUUAUGCAGUUGCAAUCAGCGUCAGUAUAACAAAUGUAAAUCAUUUACAACUUUCAACAACGGAUCUCUUGGUUCUGGCAUCGAUGAAGAACGCAGCGAAAUGCGAUACGUAGUGUGAAUUGCAGAAUUCAGUGAAUCAUCGAAUCUUUGAACGCACAUUGCGCCCUUUGGUAUUCCAAAGGGCAUGCCUGUUCGAGCGUCAUUUGUACCCUCAAGCUUUGCUUGGUGUUGGGCGUUUUUUGUCUUUGGUUGCCAAAGACUCGCCUUAAAAGGAUUGGCAGCCGGCCUACUGGUUUCGCAGCGCAGCACAUUUUUGCGCUUGCAAUCAGCAAAAGAGGACGGCAAUCCAUCAAGACUCCUUCUCACGUUUGACCUCGGAUCAGGUAGGGAUACCCGCUGAACUUAAGCAUAUCAUA